rnacentral:siRNA from 1 species
GGAUUAACUGGAGCCAGAUCCA